AUGCUACAGAAAGGCAAAGUGGAUUUAAAACCUUUUCUUUCCAGCCUUUCUGCAAAUAAAGAAAAACUUAAAGAGAGCUCACAUUCAGGAGUUGCACCGUCAGUGGAAGAGGUAGAAGCAGGGCUCAAAGGUUUGAAGGUGGAUCAGCAAGUGAAAAAUUCAACUCCCUUUAUGGUAGAACACCUAGAGGAGACUCUGAGUGCUGUAACCAGCAAUUGACAACUCAAGAAAGAUGGAGACAUGACUGCAUUUAACAAGCUAGUGAGCACCAGGAAGGCAAAUGGGACUUUGCCUUCUAAGCCCAAAGUCACUUGAAAUCUUGAAAGCCAUAUGAUGUCCCCUGCUGAGAUUCUAGGGUAGCAUGUCCCUAAGAACAUCCUACAGGAACUUCUGGGCCAACCAAUUCAGAGACUCACUUCUUCUAAUGUUCUGAGUGGCUUUAUGGGGAGCUUAGAGCCUACAACAUCUUUACUGGACCAAAGAGCACCCUCUCCUCCCUUGUCACAGGUGUUUCAAACUCGAGCAGCCUCAGCAGACUAUCUUCACCCAAGAAUACCAUCACCAAUUGGUUUUAUACCAGGACCACAGUUACUCGGAGAUCCAUUCCAAGGCAUGUGAAAACCCAUGAGCCCUGUCACAUCCCAAAUGAGCCAGCUAGAGUUACAACAGGCAGCUUUGGAGGGGGUAGCCUUGCCACAUGACCUUGCUGUAAACUUCUACCAGCCUGGUUUUGGCAAACCACGGUGGACAGAACCAGAGAUGGAUUCAGAAACAGGCAACAACGAGUGACCAAGUCACCACCACCCGUGCACCGAGAGAAUUCCUCUUCCCCAGCCCCUGCUGCCUCCAUCACAAGCAUGCUGUCUCCUUCCUUUAACCCUACUUCAGUGAUUCGUAAGAUGUAUGAGAGCAAAGAGAAAAGCAAGGAAGAGCCAGUAUCUGGAAAAACAGCUCUUGGUGAUAGUAAAGAGGAUACUCAAAAGGCCUGUAAAGAAAAACUCCUGUCAUCCAGCUCUGUACCCAGUGUCGAUCGAGACUCUUCUCCCACUACAAAUGCCAAACUGUCAAUGUUACAGUGGUCUUCAUGUUCCACCCCAAUGUCCCAGACCAACUGUUACACCAAAGAACAAGAUUAUCGACCUAAAGCAACUGGGAGAGAAACACCCACCAUGGCAUUCCCAGUUCCAGGAACACCUUUUCUCCGCCCUGUCCACCAAGUUCCUCUCGUCCCCCAUGUCCCUAUUCUUCAGCCUGCUCACCAGCUUCACCCAGGGUUGGUACAAAGGAUGCUGGCACAAGGAGUACAUCCACACCAUCUUCCAAGUUUGCUCCAAGCUGGUGUGCUUCCUCCUGGGAUGGAUCUGACUCGUUUACAAGGAAUAUCCAGCCCAAUCCUGGGUCAGCCCUUUUACCCUUUACCUGCUGCUAGUCGCCCUCUCCUUAGACCAGUGGCGUGCGUGGGCCCCCAGUCAGGGAUGGGCAGCAUCUGA